GUGCUGCUAAAUGGAACAUGAACAGCUCGUAAUGGGCAGCAGUAAAUAGACAUUUGUAUGGACACAGGUACACUGUGCGGUGAAAGAGACAUGCAGGAGACAAGGUACUGAACAAAACAGCGCUGCAUAAAACCAGGCAUUCAUUUAAAGGAAGAAAAAUGUCGCUGAAAGCUGCAGGAUUAUUAGCAUUACUAUGCAUGAGGAGUACUCAAAGAAGAUGUUACAAGAGGAAGAGAGACAUUAUUCAAGUGUCUAAGAAGACAGACCAUCAUCAGCAGUGGAGAGAGAAAAGGCUUCCAAAGGAAUAGCAUAGCAUUUCCAACAUUAAAUUAUAAGGGGACUGAAGCCUUAAAAGCCAAACGGCAUGCUAAGUUGAAGCGAGAGCAGAGGGAUUUCCAUUUCAAACAAGGAGGCAGAGCCUUUCCAGAACAUCUGGAGAAUAUUUGGAGGAAGAGCUGGAGCUGUGAUAAGGUCGCAGGACUAGAGGCAUGAAGGAACAAAAUGGGGCCACUGAGGAAAACUCUGAGACUAUGAUGAGAACUGAACCACUGUUGGUAAAUCCCUGCCAAACAUGACCAGAAGUAAUUUGCCAGUCUUUGCCCACAGGCGUAACCUGCCCUGAACUGUCUUGAGUGACCACUGCUGGGGCUAACAAAACCCAGUUGCUACGUGGAGACAGCUUCCUAACAAAAGUGGCAAAGAAGUGUGUGUAGUGUACCUGGGGCUGUGCACACCAUACUUGGCAACCUGGCUUGCUUUGAGAUUCCUGGUUUGCUGUGGAUCUGUCUCCCCGCUGCUCUCCCUGACCCUGUUAUGGACAAGCUACUUAUGGGUGUUUGAUGGAGAUCUGGGGAAAUUUUCAGAGAUGGAGACCAUUCCUGAAAAUGGCCCGGACAGCUUGGCCGUGUGGUAGCUUUUCUUCAGGAGCGUGAGUAACACUCGUCCUGGCUGACAUGAGGGGCAGAGGCACCAGUCCGGCAGACAGGACGCAGCGUCACCAUCGCAGCCCAAGGACUUCUCCAACUUUACCUAAACAUGGUCACUCUCUGGCAUCUCCGCUCUGGUCAGCAGCCUUCACGAAAGCCAGAGACGAGCGGGAGCCACUCCUCUGCCUUCACGCGCCCACACCAGGGCUGCGCACGCUGUCCUGGCCGCUCCGGCCAACUGCUCGGGGCCUGCAACCUCCCCUUACGAGCGUGUUCCUGCCCGCCAGCAUCAAGCACCCUUCACACGCUCGUCGGCUACCGACCUGGCUGUGGAUUGCUCUUCAACAGCGGCUUCAGGAUGCUUAAAACCAACCAGUUGACCCAGGAGAGCAUCUGAGGAGAAAAGCUGAAAUUGCUUUCAUUUCUUUCCUUAAGAAGUUUUUCCUUAUUGCAGUUCUCUUUCAGAAUGGGGAGCCUGUAAGUGGCUGCUUUGGCAUCGUCAUUAAAGACAAAGCAGUUUAAAAGCUGCUGUUACGGCUGGUUAGCCUGUGGCUGCCAAGUUCCCACUCUGUUAGUAAAGGGAGAGUUUUUCUUCUACUUAUUCUUCUAAUAAAAGAUGAAUAUUUGUUUUCGUCGCCUUCUGUGGUGUUUGCACCCACCACGUAGCCCAGCAGAGCCUGUCGGGAGAGACGAUUGUCUGGCUAGACCCACCCAGCCAC